UACGGAGGGGGCUAGCGUUGUUCGGAAUUACUGGGCGUAAAGCGCACGUAGGCGGACCAGAAAGUUGGGGGUGAAAUCCCGGGGCUCAACCUCGGAACUGCCCUCAAAACUAUUGGUCUGGAGUUUGAGAGAGGUGAGUGGAAUUCCGAGUGUAGAGGUGAAAUUCGUAGAUAUUCGGAGGAACACCAGUGGCGAAGGCGGCUCACUGGCUCGAUACUGACGCUGAGGUGCGAAAGCGUGGGGAG
rnacentral:rRNA from 1 species